rnacentral:rRNA from 1 species
AAGGUAGCGUAAUAAAUCGCCCUUUAAUUGUGGGCUUGUAUGAAUGGACAAACGAGAGAAAUACUGUCUCUUAAAUAAAAAUAAAAAUUAACCUUCAGGUGAAGAGGCCUGAUUUUAAUUAAAGGACAAAAAGACCCUGUAGAGCUUAGCUCAAAUAAACUAUUUAACAUAAUUAUUUAUACUUUAUCUUAAUACCUUAAUAUGAGCUUAGCUGGGGCGGCUAAGGAAAAUAUAUCUUCCAUUUACUUUCUUCGGUUAAUAUACCCUACAUUAAUUGACCCUUAAAAGAUCAAAAAAGAAAGCUACCUCAGGGAUAACAGAUUAAUCCUUCUUGAGAGUUCGCAUUGACAGAAGGGCUUGACACCUCGAUGUUGGCUUAAGGUACCCAAUAAAUUCGCAGCAGUUUAUAAAGGUAGGUUUGUUCAACCUUUAAAACCUUACGUGAUCUGAG